GACAGAGGGUGCAAACGUUGUUCGGAAUUACUGGGCGUAAAGCGAGUGUAGGCGGUCUCGUAAGUCGGGUGUGAAAGCCCAGGGCUCAACCCUGGAAGUGCACUCGAUACUGUAAGGCUCGAGUACUGGAGAGGUUGGUGGAAUUCUCGGUGUAGAGGUGAAAUUCGUAGAUAUCGAGAGGAACACCGGUGGCGAAGGCGGCCAACUGGACAGAUACUGACGCUGAGACACGAAAGCGUGGGGAGCAAACAGG
rnacentral:rRNA from 1 species